rnacentral:rRNA from 1 species
GAUCCUGGCUCAGAUUGAACGCUGGCGGAAUGCUUUACACAUGCAAGUCGAACGGUAGAGGGGGCAACCCCUUGAGAGUGGCGAACGGGUGAGUAAUAUAUCGGAACGUGCCCAGCCGUGGGGGAUAACGUAGUGAAAAUUACGCUAAUACCGCAUACGAUCUACGGAUGAAAGCGGGGGACCUGUAAGGGCCUCGCGCGAUCGGAGCGGCCGAUGUCAGAUUAGGUAGUUGGUGGGGUAAAGGCUCACCAAGCCAACGAUCUGUAGCUGGUCUGAGAGGACGACCAGCCACACUGGAACUGAGACACGGUCCAGACUCCUACGGGAGGCAGCAGUGGGGAAUUUUGGACAAUGGGCGCAAGCCUGAUCCAGCAAUGCCGCGUGCAGGAAGAAGGCCUUCGGGUUGUAAACUGCUUUUGUACGGAACGAAAAGGCUCUGGUUAAUACCUGGGGGCUGAUGACGGUACCGUAAGAAUAAGCACCGGCUAACUACGUG